UUCAGAUGAAGAUUUAAACCAUACCAAUAAAAAAUAAAAAAUAAACGUACAUAAUUUCAGAUGGUCCAAAAAAUGCCAUAUAUAAAUAAAAUACCAAUAAAUUUUAAACAUGUCAUAGAAUUGAGAUCAAUCCAGUAGCAAUACCGUUAAAAUAUAAUAUAGACCAUAAUACUACUAUUAUAUACUAAGAGACUACUAUAUACUAAGAGACUACUGUGUGUGCCUGACAACCUCUCCUCUAC
rnacentral:lncRNA from 1 species